UUGUUUCAUCCAUAAUUCUCCAAAAACACAUCUAUAUAUAAUAUACCUUUAAAAUCUUAAAAAUGAUCAAAUACUCGUCAGCUACAAGUGGAUGCAAAGUGCUAAAGUUAGCCGUAAAAUGAUCAAUGCUCUUCAGCUAAAGUUAGCAGCCGUGGUCUUAUAGUCUUGUUGAGAAAAUAUGAUCUUCCACAACAGCUCAAGUCAAAGAAAGUCGAACCAAAUACUAUGUUUCAUUGUUUUUCUUCUUGCGGGUCACUGCUCACUGGUUGUGUUCACCUAGAAAACACACAAGAAAUAAUGUACUUCUUCUUUUCCUCAGAAACCCAAAUUAAAAUUAGAGAUGGAGGAAUUCAAUGAGUUUGAUUAUUCACUUAGAUGAUUUGCAUUAAGCAUUCGUUUGCUGUGGCUGCUCAUCCAUAUUGUAUUCUCUUUUACUCCCAUCACUGACUGGGUAAGAUGGAGUUUUAUAUUACCUGAAGAUUGUGAUAAGAAGACUGUUGGAUAGAUUAUUUGAGCCAGAGACCAAAGCCAACGUCACUCUGAAGGCUGCUGCUGCUGCUGACAGCUUCAAGAGUCAAGUGUUCCCUACACUACUCCAAAAUCCAGUGACAAGCCUUUGUAGCAAGCUUUUUCUGGCCUGCACAUUUUUGAUACAGGGUCAUGAAAUCAAGGAUCUCAAGACUGACAGGCUUCUUGCUAGAGGUUCCUAGCUCCGUGAUACCGAAUACUUCUCAUACUUCAUUUCACCGGCACAAAAGAUCAGGGCAUCUUUCUCAUGCUAUUCUUCCCAAGCUUCAGUUCAAAGGAUUAAUUAAGUUAUCAUCUUCUUCUUCUCAGGAUGGAUUGUGCCACUCAUGUCAUGAGUUAGGUAAGCACAGAGCGUUACCUUUCUCAACUUCUAAUAGAACUACUUCUGCACCUCUGCAAUUGGUUCAUUGUGAUGCAUGGGGGGACCAACUUCUACAUUCUUUUUAUUGAUGAUUUUGGAAGGUAUAAUUGGUUAUAUCUAGGAAGCUUAAAGCAGAUGCAUUAGAUUGUUUCAAACAUUUAAAGCAACAACUGAAAAUUUGUUUAGCUGCACAAUUGAGAUGUUUCAGUCAGAUGGUGCUUUUGAACUAGUUUAAGUGACAUUUAGAGAGUUCAUAGAUGAAUGUGGCAUAGUCAUUUCAUGCUGUUGCCCAAAUACUCAGCAACAAAAUGGCCUAGCUGAGAAGAUUCUUAGGCAUGUCACUGAAGUAGGUAAUACAAUUUUUUCUUUUCUUUUCAAGCAUCUCUACCUAAAUCCUUCUGGAUAUAAUCAUUUCCUCACUGCAGCAUAUCUCAUCAAUUGAAUUCCUUCUAAAUUACUUUUUCACUUUGCUUCUAGAUUUCCUAUUCCACUGCCUUCACUUAUACUUUGCCGACCCCUGUUGAGCUAAAAACGGAUAAAACUGUUUCUAAGGAUCCUAGAUGGGUAAAGUCUAUGUCAAAGGAAUUUCAGGAUCUACAGACUAAUCAGAAAUGGAUGUUGGUUCCAUAUUCUUCUUCUAUAAAUGUACUUGGAUGUAAGUGGGUGUAUAAGAAGAAGAACUUAAAGCUGAUGGGAUAGUUGAUAGGUUUAAGGCCAGGUUAGUGGCUAAAGGAUUCAAUCAGGAGGAAGGUGUAGAUUGUAGCAAAACUUUCUCUUGUUGGUAAAACUUUGUAUUUUUCUGGUGUCAGUUGAAUUUAUGCAUGCUCCUAGGACAAGUAGUAUGUUUUUCGUUUACAAAAGCCUGAGGUUUCUUUACGGUUGAAUUGGUUGUGGAAUCAAACUGGCUGCUGGUGAUUUUGCUUUAUCUGGAUUUUCUAGUCUAGUCUGAGCUGGAUGCCCUGACACCAGAAAAUCCACUGCUGGGUAUUGUGUAUUUUUGGGUCAUUCCUUAGUUGCUUGGAGCUCUAAAAGGUUGCCUACUGUUGCUAAAUCUUCUUCAGAAGCGGAGUAUAAGGCCUUAGCUUUGCUUGCUUCAGAAGUUCUAUCGAUGUCCUACUUAUUAGAUGAGUUGAACAUCAGUUAUUCAUCCAGUUUUUCAUGCAAGUUCCAAACAUACUGAGUUGGAUUAUCACUAUGUAGGAAAUUUUAGUGACUGCUGGUUAUGUUGAUAUGUUUACUAAAGGACUUACUUCACCAGUUUUGUGUGGUCGUCAGUCCAAGCUUAUGCAUCCUAUUUCUGCUUAGCUUGAGAACGAGUAUUAUUAACUGAAGAAAUCUCUUCUUUUGUGUUGUUUUAUAUCUGUCCAUUCAAUUGUGUGUUUGCUCAGUUUGUUAAGAGUCUGAUUCAACCAGGUGAUGUAAUGACAAGUCUGUUGAAGUUUGUUAUAAUG